GAGUUUGAUCUGGCUCAGGAUGAACGCUGGCGGCGUGCUAAUACAUGCAAGUCGAGCGAACAGAUGAGAAGCUUGCUUCUCUGAUGUUAGCGGCGGACGGGUGAGUAACACGUGGGUAACCUACCUAUAAGACUGGGAUAACUCCGGGAAACCGGGGCUAAUACCGGAUAAUAUUUUGAACCGCAUGGUUCAAUAGUGAAAGACGGUUUCGGCUGUCACUUAUAGAUGGACCCGCGCCGUAUUAGCUAGUUGGUAAGGUAACGGCUUACCAAGGCGACGAUACGUAGCCGACCUGAGAGGGUGAUCGGCCACACUGGAACUGAGACACGGUCCAGACUCCUACGGGAGGCAGCAGUAGGGAAUCUUCCGCAAUGGGCGAAAGCCUGACGGAGCAACGCCGCGUGAGUGAUGAAGGUCUUCGGAUCGUAAAACUCUGUUGUUAGGGAAGAACAAAUUUGUUAGUAACUGAACAAGUCUUGACGGUACCUAACCAGAAAGCCACGGCUAACUACGUGCCAGCAGCCGCGGUAAUACGUAGGUGGCAAGCGUUAUCCGGAAUUAUUGGGCGUAAAGCGCGCGUAGGCGGUUUCUUAAGUCUGAUGUGAAAGCCCACGGCUCAACCGUGGAGGGUCAUUGGAAACUGGGAAACUUGAGUGCAGAAGAGGAGAGUGGAAUUCCAUGUGUAGCGGUGAAAUGCGCAGAGAUAUGGAGGAACACCAGUGGCGAAGGCGGCUCUCUGGUCUGUAACUGACGCUGAUGUGCGAAAGCGUGGGGAUCAAACAGGAUUAGAUACCCUGGUAGUCCACGCCGUAAACGAUGAGUGCUAAGUGUUAGGGGGUUUCCGCCCCUUAGUGCUGCAGCUAACGCAUUAAGCACUCCGCCUGGGGAGUACGACCGCAAGGUUGAAACUCAAAGGAAUUGACGGGGACCCGCACAAGCGGUGGAGCAUGUGGUUUAAUUCGAAGCAACGCGAAGAACCUUACCAAAUCUUGACAUCCUUUGACCGCUCUAGAGAUAGAGUCUUCCCCUUCGGGGGACAAAGUGACAGGUGGUGCAUGGUUGUCGUCAGCUCGUGUCGUGAGAUGUUGGGUUAAGUCCCGCAACGAGCGCAACCCUUAAGCUUAGUUGCCAUCAUUAAGUUGGGCACUCUAGGUUGACUGCCGGUGACAAACCGGAGGAAGGUGGGGAUGACGCCAAGUCAUCAUGCCCCUUGUGAUUUGGGCUACACACAUGCUACAAUGGAUAAUACAAAGGGCAGCGAGUCCGCGAGGCCAAGCAGAUCCCAUAAGAGUUAUUCUCAGGUCUGAUUGUAGGUCUGGCAACUCACUACAUGAAGUGGAAUCCUUGGUAAUCGGGGAGAUCACCAUCUACGGUGAGUACAUUCCCGGGUUGUGG
rnacentral:rRNA from 1 species